rnacentral:rRNA from 1 species
GCCCCAGUAACGGCGAGCGAAGCGGCAACAGCCCAAAUUUGAAAUCUGGCCCCGUCGGGGUCCGAGUUGUAAUUUGGAGAGGAUGCUUCGGCGACGGCCCCGGGGCAAGUUCCCUGGAACCGGAUGCCACAGAGGGUGAGAGCCCCGUACCCGCCCGGGUGCCCGCCGCCAGACGAAGCGCCUUCGACGAGUCGAGUUGUUUGGGAAUGCAGCUCAAAGCGGGAGGUAAAUUUCUUCUAAGGCUAAAUACCGGCCAGAGACCGAUAGCGCACAAGUAGAGUGAUCGAAAGAUGAAAAGCACUUUGGAAAGAGAGUCAAAUAGCACGUGAAAUUGUUGAAAGGGAAGCUCUUGCUGCCAGACGUGCCGCGGGUGCUCAGCGUCCCCCCCCGGGGGACGUGUACUCGCCCGCGGCGGGCCAGCGUCAGUUCGGGCGGCCGGAUAAAGGCGCGGGGAACGUAGCCCCUCUCGGGGGGUGUUAUAGCCCCGGGCGUCAUGCGGCCCGCCGGAACUGAGGCCUGCGUUCGCUUGGACGCUGGCGUAAUGGUCGCAAGCGACCCGUCUUGAAACACGGACCAAGGAGUCUAACAUCUGUGCGAGUGUGUGGGUGGCAAGCCCAUGCGCGCAAUGAAAGUGAACGGAGGUGGGACCCCGCGCGGGCGCACCAUCGACCGAUCCUGAUGUUCUCGGAUGGAUUUGAGUAGGAGCAUAGCUGUUGGGACCCGAAAGAUGGUGAACUAUGCGUGUUUAGGGUGAAGCCAGAGGAAACUCUGGUGGAGGCUCGCAGCGGUUCUGACGUGCAAAUCGAUCGUCAAAAAUGCGUAUAGGGGCGA